GCGCUAUUUAGGGGGGAGGGGGAGGGUGGGAGAAGCCAGGGGGGAUGCGAAGGCGAGAGAAAGAGAGCGAGAAAAAAUAGGAGGGGCGAGAAAGAAAUAGCUAUUUCUUUUUCUAUUUCGCUAUUUCUUUCUCGCCCCUUCCAUUUUUUCUCGCUUUCUUUCUCUCGCCUUCGCAUUCCCCCCCCCCAGCUUUUCCCACCUUCGCCCUCCCCCCUAAAUAGCGC
rnacentral:sRNA from 1 species